AUACGGAGGGUGCAAGCGUUAUCCGGAUUUACUGGGUUUAAAGGGUACGCAGGCGGUAAUUUAAGUCAGUGGUGAAAGCCUACAGCUCAACUGUAGAACUGCCAUUGAAACUGAAUUACUUGAGUAUGGUAGAGGUAGGCGGAAUACAACAUGUAGCGGUGAAAUGCAUAGAUAUGUUGUAGAACACCGAUUGCGAAGGCAGCUUACUAAACCAUUACUGACGCUCAUGUACGAAAGCGUGGGGAGCGAACAGGAUUAGAAACCCGAGUAGUCC
rnacentral:rRNA from 1 species